AGUGAACGCUGGCGGUAGGCCUAACACAUGCAAGUCGAACGGCAGCACAGUAAGAGCUUGCUCUUACGGGUGGCGAGUGGCGGACGGGUGAGGAAUACAUCGGAAUCUACUUUUUCGUGGGGGAUAACGUAGGGAAACUUACGCUAAUACUGCAUACGACCUACGGGUGAAAGCAGGGGAUCUUCGGACCUUGCGCGAUUGAAUGAGCAGAUGUCGGAUUUGAUAGUUGGCGGGGUAAAGGCCCACCAAGGCGACGAUCCGUAGCUGGUCUGAGAGGAUGAUCACCCACACGGGAACUGAGACACGGUCCAGACUCCUACGGGAGGCAGCAGUGGAGAAUAUUGGACAAUGGGCGCAAGCCUGAUCCAGCCAUACCGCGUGAGUGAAGAAGGCCUUCGGGUUGUAAAGCCCUUUUGUUGGGAAAGAAAAGCAGCAGGUUAAUACCCCGCUGUUCUGACGGUACCCAAAGAAUAAGCACCGGCUAACUUCGUG
rnacentral:rRNA from 1 species